GAUGAACGCUGGCGGCAGGCCUAACACAUGCAAGUCGAGGGGUAGCAGGAUUAAGCUUGCUUAAUUGCUGACGACCGGCGCACGGGUGCGUAACGCGUAUGCAACCUACCUUAUACUGGGGUAUAGCCCGGAGAAAUUCGGAUUAAUCCCCCAUAGUACUAAUGAAUCGCAUGGUUUAUUAGUUAAAGCAUUGCGGUAUAAGAUGGGCAUGCGUCCAAUUAGCUAGAUGGUGAGGUAACGGCUCACCAUGGCUACGAUAGGUAGGGGGCCUGAGAGGGUGGUCCCCCACACUGGUACUGAGACACGGACCAGACUCCUACGGGAGGCAGCAGUGAGGAAUAUUGGUCAAUGGGCGCAAGCCUGAACCAGCCAUGCCGCGUGCAGGAAGAAUGCCCUAUGGGUUGUAAACUGCUUUUAUUUGGGAAUAAACCUCUUUACGUGUAGAGAGCUGAAGGUACCAAAUGAAUAAGCACCGGCUAACUCCGUGCCAGCAGCCGCAGUAA
rnacentral:rRNA from 1 species